GUUUGUUUUUGAGUCGGAAUCUCGCUCUGUCACCCAGGCUGGAGUGCAAUGGCGUGAUCUCAGCUCACUGCAACCUCCACCUACCAAGUUCAAGCAGUUCUUCUGUCUCAGCCUCCCAAGUAGCUGGCACUACAGGCGCACGCCACCAUGUCCGGCUAAUUUUUGUAUUUUCAGUAGAGACGGGGUGUCACUAUAUUGUUA
rnacentral:lncRNA from 1 species